GGGGAAUAUUGGACAAUGGGGGAAACCCUGAUCCAGCAAUGCCGCGUGGGUGAUGAAGGCCUUCGGGUUGUAAAGCCCUUUUGGCAGGGACGAUGAUGACGGUACCUGCAGAAUAAGCCCCGGCUAACUUCGUGCCAGCAGCCGCGGUAAUACGAAGGGGGCUAGCGUUGUUCGGAAUUACUGGGCGUAAAGGGCGCGUAGGCGGCUUCGAUAGUCAGGCGUGAAAUCCCCAGGCUCAACUUGGGAAUUGCGCUUGAUACUGCGAGGCUUGAGUGAGGGAGAGGAUAGUGGAAUUCCCAGUGUAGAGGUGAAAUUCGUAGAUAUUGGGAAGAACACCAGUGGCGAAGGCGGCUAUCUGGACCUCAACUGACGCUGGGGCGCGAAAGCGUGGGGAGCAAAC
rnacentral:rRNA from 1 species